GGUUUUUUGAUCAUAAUUUAAAAUUUGGCCUGCCCACUGAAAUCUUAAAGGGCCGCGGUAUUUUGACCGUGCUAAGGUAGCAUAAUCAUUAGUUUCUUAAUUAGGAGCUGGAAUAAAUGGUUGGAUGAGAAAAUAACUGUCUCUUAGUAAAUAUGAUGAAUUUUAUUUUUAAGUUAAAAAGCUUAAAUAUAAUUAAAAGACGAGAAGACCCUAUAGAGUUUGAUAUAAAAUUUUUAUUUUUUAAAUUAGAAUAUAAAUAUGAGUAAUAAGUUUCUAUUUAAUUGGGGUGAUUGAAAAAUUUAAUAAACUUUUUUUAAAAUAAAUUCAUUGAUUUAUGAAUAAUUGAUCCAUUAAUAAUGAUUAUAAGAAAAAAUUACCUUAGGGAUAACAGCGUAAUUUUUUUAGAGAGUUCAAAUUAAUAAAAAAGAUUGCGACCUCGAUGUUGGAUUAAAAUUUCUUUUUGGCGCAGAAGCUAGAAAAGUAGGUCUGUUCGACCUUUAAAAUUU
rnacentral:rRNA from 1 species